UACGAAGGGGGCGAGCGUUGUUCGGAAUUACUGGGCGUAAAGGGCGCGCAGGCGGCUCUGCAAGUCAGAUGUGAAAGCCCCGGGCUUAACCUGGGAACUGCAUUUGAUACUCUAGAGCUUGAGUACGGGAGAGGAGAGUGGAAUUCCCAGUGUAGAGGUGAAAUUCGUAGAUAUUGGGAAGAACACCGGUGGCGAAGGCGGCUCUCUGGACCGUAACUGACGCUGAGGCACGAAAGCUAGGGGAGCAAACAGG
rnacentral:rRNA from 1 species